UGGUGGUGUGAAUUGUCUGGUUAAUUCCGUUAACGAACGAGACCUCGACCUGCUAAAUAGGGCGCUCUUGUCUUCGGGCAAGUGUGGCUCUUCUUAGAGGGACUAUCGGUGUUUAGCCGAAGGAAGUUCGAGGCAAUAACA
rnacentral:rRNA from 1 species